AGAUCACGCCUCUUGACCGUUACGUAUGCAACGCCUUCGUGGUUCUGUGCCUUUUCAUUCCUUCUCAGCCAACGGAAGAGAUGGUACUUCAUAAAAGAUCGUGAAAACUCAUAAGAAAUACGAGAUUAUAGAGAUAGUAGAAGGAAACAGGUAGGUAAGUAGAUUAAUUUUCUGAGUGACCCACGAAGAUUAGUCGGCUGUGAGUCAUUGAAUGAUACCGGAUGCAUUGCAAACAACUUUUUUUUUUCACUGGUUGAUGUACACAGACGUGGGAGGAAGCCUUCAAUCAGGCGUGUCAUGUAUAAAUAUAUGUAAUAUACAUGCGUACACGUAAAUGCUUAUUAAUGUGUAUGCAGUUAGUAUUUUUCUCACAACAACAGCAAAAAAAACUCACCUAAACUUAUACAUACAAUAUUAUGUUUGUGUGUGUAAAGCAGCACGCGUGAAUCCGCAUUUAUUACAUGUCAAGUUAUGCCACAAAUUCUAUAACUAGAAUAAGUUAAGCAUUCUUCUUUCGUGUGUCUGUUUCCUUGUAGUGCAGCUGAUCUUUGAAGGUAAGUUUGAUUUAGCAAAUAUGUUCGUUGAUGUUGUCAUUACGAGCUUUAAUACGUUUAAAUGCGGUAACAAAACCGUAAAGCUGUUCCAGCUUGAAUUCUAUGUCAUUUCUUAUGAAAAUAUCCCAGUCUAUUCCUAAAAUCGUUCGUGCAUCACCGACAAUCAAAGAAACGUUGCAUUCCUUUGUUCGUAAACCUCAAACUUGAGUUGAGUAAAAGAGAGAGUUUAGGCGAGUAAAGGAAGUGGCAAGUGCUACAGAAUUCAGGAAAUUUACAUCCAGUUUCAUUAAUUCAGUUGACUGAGGCCAAGGAUAAUAUCACUGUACGAAUUACUGAGGCAUUUUAUUCUCAAAAGAAAGUCAUACAAUUGUUCAUACAACUCGUCGUCUAUCACAUCUUCAACAGAAGGUUUGUUGGGAAGAUCUCAUGAGUUAUAUCUUUAACAGAGCGUUUAUACAGGAUCUGCACGUAGCUGGGAUCUCCACCUCGAUUUGCGCUUUUAAGGUUCGUUGUGAGUGUUGCACCUGACUGUCCUUUAUUUGGUGGCUGAAGGACGCUUCUGUGCGGUGUGCAUGCCGCGUAUCUUGAUGCAUCCUUUCCUAGAACAAAGACCUUCUCUACAUAGAUUCAUUGAACAUCCAUUGAGCAACGCAUCUUAUACAGGACAUUCUUCUAGCAAAUAUGAACUGGGUGGAAACAUUAGGCCAGAAUGCUGAAUGUAUGAAUUUCAUUCAUGCAAGAUUCCAAGAUCAUCUUACAAGGGAGAAAGGGGUUUUACGGUGUGUGAGAGCUCCCAAAAGGUGGCGUCCACCCAUGCCUGCCCGUGGAUGUAAACAACUGCCUACCUACAGCGUGUGUAUAACAGUGGUGGAGUCAAUACAGACUAAAUCAACAGAAA